UCCCUGGUGGUCUAGUGGCUAAGGAUCCUGUACUCUCACCACCACACCCUGGGUUCGAUUCCUAGCCAGGGAA
rnacentral:tRNA from 1 species